GUGGCACUCUUAUCCUAAGUAAGGUGAUUAUGUAUACAUUUGUUUCUGGCAGAUCUUAACACUGUGCCUAAAGAUUGAGGUUCUCCAUAGACUGCCAUAGUCACUCAAUAGUGCUAUGUUUUCCCAGGGAGAUACAAGA
rnacentral:snoRNA from 1 species